AAAGCAACGGAUCUAAUAAAAAAGGAACACGAGGGAGGAAAAGAAAAAAAACGCAGAAAUUUCCUCUGCAAAACCCACAACAAGGUUGACGUUUCAGCCUACUUUCCUCCAGAAUCGUUGCUGCCACACACCUGGUUCAACUGGCAAUCUCGCUCAAAGCUGCUUCCAUCUGGUUUUUGCUCACACAAAUCCAGUCCAGAAGCAUUUCCAGGAUUUUACGAGGACGCAGUAUUUGAUCCCCAAUCCAAUAUCUGGACUUCACUCUGGGUUCUGGAAACUGAAAGCUGGACACUUAUUUAUGUUUUCCUUUUGGGUUGUACUUGAACCCUAUGACUUAUUCUGUGGGCUGUAACGUGUUAUUUGGGAUAAUGUAUUUUCCUUUUUGGAUUGCCACUUGAAG